AUUUUCUUAUACUGGUAUAAUAAAUCAUCCGAACCCUAAACAGAGUUGGUUGUAUCUUGACCCUAGAAUCGACCCUGUUACAACAGUACUAGGCGCUGCAGCUAAAGAAAAUUGCAGAUUUUAUAAGGUCACAGCUCUGUAAAAACAGAAGCCUGGUGAUGGCAUAAUUAAAAAAUCUAGAGGCAGAACACAAUGGUGAAAAAUUAAGAAAAGGAGAUGUAGUUAAUUAACUUCCAUAAUGUUCAAGCUCCAAUUAUAUGUAAGAGGAAGAAGUGAUAUAUUGUGAAAGAUCCUGGAAUGUUCAACUUUAUUUGGAAACUGUUGGAUAAAAUUUACACUAGAAGCCAGUAUCAUAUUGUCUUGCAAUUGGAAACUAUAAUUUUUAUGUAAACUGCUGAAACUGGAGAACAACAUUAAAAGCCAAGAUCAACAAUACUUGGGACUACAUCAUUAUGUAUAAUCAGAGUACAUGUACUGUCAGAAUCCAUAUGAGAACCAAUCUACACUUGGUGUCUACAUGUAUAUGCAAUGUAUUGUCAGAAUCCAUGGACUUGAGAAACCAAAGAUUAACUAUAAUUUAAAACUGUAUGCUUUAGUGUUGUCUAAAUCCAUAAAAAAAUCCAAGAUCACAAAAGGACCUACUUUACCUACCUGU